GCCUUAUGGCGGAUUUCGUCCGAAAAACUGGUACCCAAAAGACGGCCCCUCCCUUCGGACGGAGGCGUCAGAGCCGGACCCUCUUUCGCCCCACGUCUCAAGGUCGCACCCACUCCCAAGUCCUGUGACUUUGAAACCUUCUUCCUUGACACCAUACCCCGCGCUGCCCCUCAGCAGACAUCUACAGCCUGGAGACGGCCGCGAAGCUGGGAGUCAGGCUUAGGCUGUGAACCCAGGGGGCUCCGGAGCUCCUCGCAGCGUGCAGGUGGUGGCGGCCGGAGCACGAGGGUAGGUGCACAGUCCAGAUUUCGUGGAGUCUCAGGACACAAGGAAACCCUUGGUCUUCAGCUGCACUGUCCCAAGGCUCCCGUCGGACACACCCACCUGCACCUACACCCACACUGAACCAGAGCACUAAAAUACAAGGAAACUUUUAUUUUCAAUUUUUGUCAAGAAAUUUGCUGUGGUUUUUUAUGCUUUUGGUUCUUUUCCUUUUUUUUUUUUUUUUUUUUUCCAACUUUAUUUCAUUCUAGCCGCUCAGGGGCUGGAGCCGCUGGGUUCCUGGUAUUAAAAAGAUGCCAACAGAGGUAGCUGUGUCUCGCCCAGGGGCCCGGCCCACUGUGAAUACCCCCCAAAAAGGAGAAAUGAAAACACAAAAUAAACCAACAAAAUAAAACCAAAAGGAGGAA